GACUCUCGUUGCUUAAGGUUGAUUAUAGUAAAGACAAGAACGUAAUUAAAACUAGAACAAGACUGAAUCUUGUACGUGAUUGCGUUGUUUUUUGGAAUUCGCGUGAAAACAAUAUUGAAUAGAUUAAGAGGAAAACCGCUUUGUAUUAGCACAAUGUCGUCAUUCUUGUCUGCACUAAUUGCCGUGUGCCUUAUUUCAAUCUCAAGUACUGAUGCGGGUACUUUGGAUCGAAUCUUAAGACGAAAUGAAUUUCAGCCGAAUGUUUCUGACUUGGAAAGACUGACUUUGCGAAUGCUUGAUGAUCAUGAAGCGCGCUCUCCAGAUACAAACGUUGAUUUUCCGUCGGUAAGUCAAAACGACGAAAUUUCUGAACCAUUUGUAGAGUACAAUUAUGUAAGUGACGCCGCUUUACCACCCUACGUCGAAAAAAGAACACACCGAUCAAAGAGAAAUGGAUCAUUAAGGAUGAGAGCCUCAAAACGGGCAGGUCUGGAAUCUAUUCAAAACUUACUGAGCAAGAUGUACCGAGGUAUAGACGGGAAAGGUCCAAGAGUGAGUGGAAAAUGAACUUCUUUGCAUACAAAAUCACGUUGAGAAUUUCAGCAUGCCUUCUGAGUUUUGACUUCCAGAUUACUUUAACGUAUCUGGUCGAAUAAUAUUAGCGUGGGAACUAAGGUACAUUUCAAUAGAUAACCACAUAGCCUAAGUAAAACGAGUGUGAAGCAGUCACUCCUGUAUUCAUAUGUACGGUUUCAUCAGCGAAAUGAAGUUAACACAAGAAGACAAACAAUAAUUGCAUUUAUUGGUUUCAAGCAUGUGACCCUACUUGUCUCGCCUUUUAACUAGCCAUUAUCAGAAAGAAAUCAAAAAAUAAA